rnacentral:rRNA from 1 species
UACGGGGGGGGCAAGCGUUGUUCGGAAUUACUGGGCGUAAAAGGGCUCGUAGGCGGCCAACUAAGUCAGACAUGAAAUCCCUCGGCUUAACCGGGGAACUGCGUCCGAUACUGGAGGGCUUGAGUGUGGGAGAGGGAUGCGGAAUUCCAGGUGUAGCGGUGAAAUGCGUAGAUAUCUGGAGGAACACCGGUGGCGAAGGCGGCAUCCUGGACCCAUGACUGACGCUGAGGAGCGAAAGCCAGGGGAGCAAAGCGGG